CCUACGGGUGGCAGCAGUGGGGAAUAUUGGGCAAUGGGCGCAAGCCUGAACCAGCAACGCCGCGUGAAGGAAGAAGGCUUUCGGGUUGUAAACUUCUUUUCUCAAGGACGAAGAAAGUGACGGUACCUGAGUAAUAAGCCACGGCUAACUACGUGCCAGCAGCCGCGGUAAUACGUAGGUGGCAAGCGUUAUCCGGAUUUAUUGGGUGUAAAGGGUGUGUAGGCGGGAGUGCAAGUCAGAUGUGAAAACUCAGGGCUCAACCCUGGGCCUGCAUUUGAAACUGUGUUUCUUGAGUGCUGGAGAGGCAAUCGGAAUGCCGGGUGUAGCGGUGAAAUGCGUAGAUAUACGGAGGAACACCAGUGGCGAAGGCGGAUUGCUGGACAGUAACUGACGCUGAGGCGCGAAAGCGUGGGGAGCAAACAGGAUUAGAUACCCCAGUAGUC
rnacentral:rRNA from 1 species